rnacentral:rRNA from 1 species
GGGAUUAGAUACCCCACUAUGCCUAGCCCUAAACAUCGAUACUAACAUACCUAUUUUAUCCGCCAGGGUACUACGAGCAUCAGCUUAAAACCCAAAGGACUUGGCGGUGCUUUAGAUCCACCUAGAGGAGCCUGUUCUAGAACCGAUAAUCCCCGUUAAACCUCACCUUUUCUUGCCAUAUCCGCCUAUAUACCGCCGUCGUCAGCUUACUCUGUGAGGAGCUUGUAGUAAGCACAACCGGCACAGCCCAAAACUUCAGGUCGAGGUGUAGCGAAUGGAAAGGGAAGAAAUGGGCUACAUUCAAUAUUUUUAAUGAAUACGGAUGAUGCCUUGAAAAAGGCAUCUGAAGGAGGAUUUAGCAGUAAGCAGGGAAUAGAGUGCCCUGCUGAAAUUGGCCCUGAAGCGCGUACACACCGCCCGUCACUCUCCCCGAGCUAAUAAACACUAAUUACUAAUAAGCGAAACCUGCAAAGGGGAGGCAAGUCGUAACAUGGUAAGUGUACCGGAAGGUGCGCUUGGAAAAACUCAGGGCAUAGCUAAACAACGUAUAGCGUCUCCCUUACACUGAGAAGGCAUCCGUGCAAACCGGGUUGCCCUGAAGCCAAAUAGCUAGCCCAACCCCCUAAAACGAAAAAAUCACCCUCAAUAGCCCCCAACGCACUAAAAACAUUCAACAAACCAUUUUCCCCUCUUAGUAUAGGAGAUAGAAAAGAAUCUCGGCGCAAUAGAGAAAGUACCGCAAGGGAAAGCUGAAAGAGAAAUGAAAUAACCCAAGCUUUUAAGCUUGAAGAAGCAGAGACUAGUCCUUGUACCUUUUGCAU